rnacentral:rRNA from 1 species
AGCGAACGCUGGCGGCAGGCCUAACACAUGCAAGUCGAACGAACUCUUCGGAGUUAGUGGCGGACGGGUGAGUAACACGUGGGGACGUGCCUUUUGGUUCGGAAUAACUCAGGGAAACUUGUGCUAAUACCGAAUGUGCCCUUCGGGGAAAAGAUUUAUCGCCAUUAGAGCGGCCCGCGUCUGAUUAGCUAGUUGGUGAGGUAACGGCUCACCAAGGCGACGAUCAGUAGCUGGUCUGAGAGGAUGACCAGCCACACUGGGACUGAGACACGGCCCAGACUCCUACGGGAGGCAGCAGUGGGAAAUCUUGCGCAAUGGGCGAAAGCCUGACGCAGCCAUGCCGCGUGAAUGAUGAAGGUCUUAGGAUUGUAAAAUUCUUUCACCGGGGACGAUAAUGACGGUACCCGGAGAAGAAGCCCCGGCUAACUUCGUG